CAGCCGCCCGGUAAUACGUAGGGUGCGAGCGUUAAUCGGAAUUACUGGGCGUAAAGCGUGCGCAGGCGGUUCGUUAAGACAGAUGUGAAAUCCCCGGGCCUAACCUGGGAACUGCAUUUGUGACUGGCGAGCUAGAGUAUGGCAGAGGGGGGUAGAAUUCCGCGUGUAGCAGUGAAAUGCGUAGAGAUGUGGAGGAAUACCGAUGGCGAAGGCAGCCCCCUGGGCCAAUACUGACGCUCAUGCACGAAAGCGUGGGGAGCAAACAGGAUUAGAUACCCCGGUAGUCCCUGUCUCUUAUACA
rnacentral:rRNA from 1 species